UUUGAGACAUGCUGGUGUUAAAAUAUUGACACAUCCAGUGGCAUACAGUCAGGACAACUGCACACAGCUAUCAGAGGAUUUUCAGAGCAGACCAGACCUAGCAUCAGCCCCCCGGUGUGGGAACACCCCCUCAUCAGAUGAUGACCCCCUUAGCUGUGCUCAAUUGUACACACUCUCAUCACCAAAGCCAAAGAAGAAGAAGCAGAAGAAGCUGAUAAAUAACAGAGCGGCGAUUCCAUUAUCAAGGGAUGCGUCUACACUAUGUGUCGAAACGCAGACCAUUGAUAAUACAUGCUCUUCUGAGACACAAACACCUAGGGAGC